GAGUACGUGAAACUGCUUAGAGGUUAAACCCGAUGAACCUGAAUAUCCAUUAUGGAAAAUUCAUCAUUAAUACUAUAUUAUUUAAUUAUCAAUAUAGCUAUAGUGUGCAAUUUUUCCAUAUAAGGACAUUGUAAUUUGUUAAUGUAUUAAAUAUUUAUCAAAAGAUCUAUUACUUAAGUUUAUUCAAAUUAAUUAUUUUCGGAUUUUUAACAUAGAAUAAAUGUUUUAGAUUUGAUAAAUCAUUGACAAAUUGAAUCAUAUAAGAUGCUUAAAUUUCUUUUGAAAUUUUACAAUGGUAUUUAAAUCUAUGAUUUAUUUACUUAUAUUGUAUGCAUUUUUAUGAUUAACAAUGCGAUAGAUUCAGGAUACCUUCGGGACCCGUCUUGAAACACGGACCAAGGAGUCUAACAUAUGUGCAAGUCAUUGGGUAUCUUAAUUGAAACCUAAUGGCAUAAUUAACUUAACUGUUAAAUAUGGGAUUAGUUUAUAUUUUAUUAUGAAAUAUUAAUUCAAUCCCGGGGCGUUCUAUAUAGUUAUGCAUAAUAGUAUUUAUAUUAUUUAUGUCUCUAACUAGAGCGUACCUUGAGCAUAUAUGCUGUGACCCGAA
rnacentral:rRNA from 1 species